UGUGUUUCGCUCAGUUGCGAUUAAAUAUUCGGUUAGUUUGGACGUGUUAACGGUGUGCGAGCACCAGACAAAUACUAAAAUUGCAAUAAACAAAUGUGGCAAUAGUCUUCGCUGGUCCAUAGUCGAUUUAAAAUUUGUCUGGGCAGACGAAUAUCGAGCUGCCAACAAGAAAGUUGUGCUUUCCGGUCUUAACUUAUGUGUGAGAAUUUAAUUAAAAUUUCCGAUAUCGAAACAAAACUGGUUGUUAGAAUUCAGUGCUUCUGUUGAAUUAAUUUGUGGAUUUGGAAUUUGACGAUUUGGGAUGUGAACGUUGGUGACAGUGCUAAAUUUGAUAUUCGAAACGAAACUUGUUAAAUUCUAGUUUCUCAAAGUGUAAAGUGUGAAAGAAUUUGAGAAUUAUUUAAAUCACAACCAUACCCACAGAAUUAUUAACGAAAGUUGAUAAAACUAUUUGUGUUGUGUUUACCAAAGUUGCUUCAAAAUCUGGUUAGAAACUGAAAUACGAAAAGAUUAUUAAUUCAAUUUCGAACUGAGUGAAACAGCCAAGCAUAAAAGGAGACACGGAAGUGUGAAAUACGCCGCAACCCAAGUUUCAAAUCUACAGUUGCACAAAUACAUACAUACAUUUACAAAUACAAAACCGCAGACAUAUUGACAGUUUAGUCGGCAGACACAUUUGCCAAGGGUUACAAAGGGAAGUUUGCAAAAGGCAAAGACAACAUUUGUGGCAAAUUCGUUAAAAUUAUUUGCAUAAUUCUGACACACUGCUCGGCUAAAUAGAAAUCGCACGC